rnacentral:lncRNA from 1 species
UGAAAUGAGCUGCUUCAAUCCUACACAAAGUUAAUCCUUUUGGAAAAAACAGAAACUUCUCCAAAAUUUAUGCUGAGAUAAUGCGCCAAGGUCAAAGUGUCCUCAUGUUAAAUAAAAGAGGUGAAUGUUGGACACUUGACUCCUGGGACACCAGCAUUAAUGCCCACACUUAAAAUAUACAUUGUUGUGAGGAUUUAGAAUAAAGAGAAAGAAAAAAAAAAAAACCUCGAGCAUUUUGUGUAAUUCGAUAGCAUAUUCCUAUUCGUGGAUAUGGUUUCAAUAUAAAAAUUGUGGGGGAAAAAAAACUUGAGAGAAGUCUACUCCCACCCCUGGUCCUCCCUUCCUGUUCUCAGCCAGCCUUUGUUGUGUACUGGUGGACUGUGGUCAGGAUGGGUUGUGUGGCAUCGGGGGAGUAUGCAGUGCUGCCAGCUACUGGCAUAGGCCUCUCUGUGCAGGGGGCACAGCGCAAACACCCCCUAGAUAAAGGUGGGCAUGACGGCUUUCCCACAGCCUGCUCAGUAGAGUGUGUCAAUCUCUCAGAUGAAUCCCUGCCAACGCCUUUCCCUCUUAAAGGCACAAAUGAAUGUGGCUGUCAUUUGCAUGCAGGAACCAUGACUUAGUUGUCACUGCAUCCAGGAGCUGUUGAAGUGACCUAAUUUCAAGUCAUUUUUAAUUCAGAGAUGAUCUCUAAC